GUCGUAGGGCGCGAGCGUUGUCCGGAAUCAUUGGGCGUAAAGCGCGCGUAGGUGGCUUCGUAAGUCCGUUGUGAAAGUCAAAGGCUCAACCUUUGAAAGCCGAUGGAUACUGCGGAGCUAGAGUACGGAAGAGGCGAGUGGAAUUCCUGGUGUAGCGGUGGAAUGCGCAGAUAUCAGGAGGAACACCAAUAGCGAAGGCAGCUCGCUGGGACGUUACUGACACUGAGGCGCGAAAGCGUGGGGAGCGAACAGG
rnacentral:rRNA from 1 species